rnacentral:rRNA from 1 species
UAGGGAAUUUUCGUCAAUGGGCGCAAGCCUGAACGAGCAAUGCCGCGUGAACGAGGAAGGUCUUCGGAUCGUAAAGUUCUGUUGAAGGGGAAAAAGAGCGGAGGGAGGAAAUGGUCUCCGAUUGAUAUUACCCUUCGAGGAAGUCACGGCUAACUACGUGCC